rnacentral:rRNA from 1 species
CCUACGGGAGGCAGCAGUGAGGAAUCUUGGUCAAUGGACGAGAGUCUGAACCAGCAAAGUAGCGUGAAGGAUGACUGCCCUAUGGGUUGUAAACUUCUUUUAUAUGGAAAUAAAAUGUUCCACGUGUGGGAUUUUGUAUGUACCAUAUGAAUAAGGAUCGGCUACAUCAGUGCCAGCAGCCGCGGUAAUACGGAGGAUCCGAGCGUUAUCCGGAUUUAUUGGGGUUAAAGGGAGCGUAGGUGGAUUGUUAAGUCAGUUGUGAAAGUUUGCGGCUCAACCGUAAAAUUGCAUUUGAAACUGGCAGUCUUGAGUACAGUAGAGGCGGGCGGAAUUCGUGGUGUAGCGGUGAAAGGCUUAGAUAUCACGAAGAACUCCUGUUGCGAAGGCAGCUCACUGGACUGCAACUGACACUGAGGCUCGAAAGUGUGGGUAUCAAACAGGAUUAGAUACCCUAGUAGUC